UCAAUCCCAACAUUGGCCCCGCCUCCAUGGCCGAUCAAAUAUACGGUCCAUUUCAAAAUUUUGACGACUCUUUGGUCCAUGAAAAUGAUGAUUGUGAAUUCCUAGAUGAUGCAACAUCAUGAUAUAUGAAUGAUCUCCUCGAUCAAAUAUUUUGUUUACAAAAGUUACCUACUCAGUCUGUCAAAAGUUAUCUUGCCAAAGCAACAUCGCUUCUUUAUGCAUUUAAAAGUGCGGGCGGUUCUCUUAGUGAGUCACAGUUUACCGAUUUUUUAGUUGAAGGCCUUGAUGAUACUCUUUUCAAAAGAGUUCAUGUUUAUUAUUAUUUGUCCACUCUUUUAUUUGGACAUGAAAAACUGUUGCAACAAUUCACUUCUAUUGAUACUUCAAAAAUUG
rnacentral:lncRNA from 1 species